UCCAGACUCCUACGGGAGGCAGCAGUGGGGAAUAUUGGGCAAUGGGCGCAGGCCUGACCCAGCAACGCCGCGUGAAGGAAGAAGGCUUUCGGGUUGUAAACUUCUUUUCUCAGGGACGAAGCAAGUGACGGUACCUGAGGAAUAAGCCACGGCUAACUACGUACCAGCAGCCGCGGUAAUACGUAGGUGGCAAGCGUUAUCCGGACUUACUGGGUGUAAAGGGCGUGUAGGCGGGACUGCAAGUCAGAUGUGAAAACCACGGGCUCAACCUGUGGCCUGCAUGUGAAACUGUAGUUCUUGAGUACUGGAGAGGCAGACGGAAUUCCUAGGGUAGCGGUGAAAUGCGUAGAUAUUAGGAGGAACACCAGUGGCGAAGGCGGUCUGCUGGACAGCAACUGACGCUGAGGCGCGAAAGCGUGGGGAGCAAACAGGAUUAGAUCCCCUGUUA
rnacentral:rRNA from 1 species